AUUGAACGCUGGCGGCAGGCCUAACACAUGCAAGUCGAGCGAGCGGCGGACGGGUGAGCAAUGUAUGUGGAUCUGCCCGAUAGAGGGGGUUAACUACUGGACACGGUUGCUAAUACCGUAUACUAUAGGCUGAACCCGUAUGGGAUUAGCUAGUGGGUGGGGUAAAGGCUGACCUAGGCGACGAUCUCUAGCUGGUCUGAGAGGAUGAUCAGCCACACUGGAACUGAGACACGGCCCAGACUCCUACGGGAGGCAGCAGUGGGGAAUAUUGGACAAUGGGCGCAAGCCUGAUGCAGCCAUGCCGCGUGUAUGAAGAAGGCCUUAGGGUUGUAAAGUACUUUAAGCGGGGAGGCGUUACCCGCAGAAGAAGCACCGGCUAACUCCGUGCCAGCAGCCGCGGUAAUAC
rnacentral:rRNA from 1 species